rnacentral:rRNA from 1 species
GACGAACGCUGGCGGCGUGCUUAACACAUGCAAGUCGAACGGAAAGGCCCCUUUGGGGGUACUCGAGUGGCGCACGGGUGAGUAACACGUGAGUAACCUUCCCUUGACUUCGGGAUAACUUCAGGAAACUGGGGCUAAUACCGGAUAGGAAUCCUUGCUUCAUGGUGGGGGUUGGAAAGCUUCGGCGGUUUUGGAUGGACUCGCGGCUUAUCAGCUUGUUGGUGGGGUAGUGGCUUACCGAGGCUUUGACGGGUAGCCGGACUGAGAGGGCGACCGGCCACAUUGAGACUGAGGGGCGGCCGAAGCAGGGAAGGGAGGGAGAAGGGGGGAAGAUUGACCGAGGGGCGGCGGCCGGGUGCAGAAGGGCCGCGUGCGGGAAAACGGUCUUAGGGUUGAAGAACGAAUUCAGCAGGAGCGAAGCUUGUGGUGACGGUACCUGAAGAAGAAGCACCGGCUAACUACGUG